rnacentral:rRNA from 1 species
UACGAAGGGGCUAGCGUUGCUCGGAAUCACUGGGCGUAAAGGGUGCGUAGGCGGGUCUUUAAGUCAGGGGUGAAAUCCUGGAGCUCAACUCCAGAACUGCCUUUGAUACUGAAGAUCUUGAGUUCGGGAGAGGUGAGUGGAACUGCGAGUGUAGAGGUGAAAUUCGUAGAUAUUCGCAAGAACACCAGUGGCGAAGGCGGCUCACUG